AGAGACGCAGCCUGCACAUGAAUCAGAAAACUCAACAACAUAAAGAUGUUGACUCUUCCCAGUGUGACCCAUGGAUUUAAUGACAUUUUGAUAUAGUUCCCAGGAAAACUAUAUUACAAUAUAAACAAAUCAAUUCUAUGGGAGAAUUUUAUUGGAAAGGGAAAUGAAGUUACAUAGUCACAGCAAUUUGGGGAAGAGAAAAAAAAAUCCUUUGUGGACUCCAUACUCCCUGAAUCUAGGACCCGGUGUGUCUGCUUUUGGUGGUGGAAAUCAGGUAGGACUUUGAUGGGAGCAGGGGCCCCUCAGUGGGUCACAACAGACGUAAAGUCACCAACGAAACUAAGUGAAUAUUGACUUUAAAGGGGCCUUUUGUCCCCUCCCCAAGUAGAUAGCAGUUGCACAUAUGUACCUCAGUAAGGAACAAACAAGUCUUUUUAUACCUUAUAUUAAAAUUGCCUAAAGAACUCAAGAUAGACCAGCCAUAAGAAAGUGAAAUAUAAAGUCUAAUGCCUGAUCUGAGGAGGACUUCCUCGAGACCCAAGGUGGGGCAGAAGGUUCUUAGAUACUGAAAGUCUAACCUGGAAAAGAAAAGUGGAUUGGUCUUCAUCAAAAAUGUAAAACUUUUAAUCAUCCACUGUAGAGAAAAUGGAAAGAUGGGUCCCGUCCUGGGCCAGAGUACAGCUGACCCAGUGCUUAUGUUAAAAGCAAAUGAAGGCCCAGGCUUGGCACUCACUUUGUACUCACAUUCAUCACUGGUAAAGACGUGAGGUGAUGGAGCCAGUCAGAAAACACUUUAACAUCACCCUCGUAAAAAAUGUAAUACUCCGAAAUAUAUGCAUGAAUGUUUCUAACAGUGAGUCUAUCCACAGUUGUUCAAAACUGGAUGCAGGCCAAAUGUCUUCCAAGGUAGCUGCACAAAUAAACAGCGACAAUUCAUUCACAGAAUGGAGUACUACCUGUCAAUGAAAAGCCAAGACCUAUCAAUAGCCACAACAAUGUGGGCAGAGCUUUAGGCUGAGGUCCAGAGGUCAUCUCAAGAGGUCUUACAAUGCAUUGUGCCACUGUAGCAGACUGAUAGAAUGGUCUUGACGGAGUCCGAUCACAGCCUUGAGGUAGGACAGUUUGGUCUUGAAGGAUAACCAGAGUGAUCCGGGGAGCAAAUAGAGGUAAUUAUAUAAAUUGAUUUCUUUUUAUACUUAAAUGAAUCCUGCAACCAUGGAAGUUAUAAUACUACCUGGAAGAAGUUAAGAGAUUGGGAAUAAAUAAGUAGCUAAAACAACAUUAAUGUAGGCUUACAGGAGAUUCUGAGAGAGGGCCUAGAUCCUUUAUUAAUUUAUCUUACAAACCUAAGAUCAGCUGGCUUUCAACACUUCUGUAAUGAAAUAGAUUUUGUAGUGAAACAGGUUCUUUUGACUUAGCAGAGCCCCACAAAAUUAUUUUAAUUUAAGGAGCCAGGCUCUCUCGUACUUCCCAUUCACUUAGAGAAGCCUUUCGUCAUUCUCAAUGUGGGCAACUAUCAUCAGAUGCCAUAAAAAUUAUUGUAAGCCUAGAGCAAUGUUACUUGAGUCUGUGUUCCUUGUGCAGUUUAUUGGGUCUUCUCAGUUAGUUGGCACGUACAAGACUUCCUAGCAUGAUGACAGGUAAUAUUCUUUUCUGCCUCAGCUUUGCCAUCUGGUCCCAUCAGGGUGGUUACUCUGUCUGCAGCCGAUGACUAUCCCAAAUCACAUGGCUUUUUCGUAGCAUGAGUAUUGCCACAUAUAUCUUAAAGGAUUUUGGAAAAAGGAAUAAUAAAAAACAACAACAACAACAAACAAACAAAACCCCAGCAUAGCCAUCUCAGUUUUUAUAUUUUAAAUUAAGCCCAUCUAGUACUUGUUUCAUGGUUUGAACUCUUAUGGAGAACAUGACAAAAACCUGUAAUUAGUAAAGGUAUAAAAACAUAAGGUUAAAAAAAAUUCUACAGAGCAGAAAACUAUACAGGAAGAAUGGUGUUUGGUGUGCGCUCUCUUUGUAGCAGUAGAGAACAGCAUCAAAAACUAAAAACCAAAGGAGAGCCGGUCAUGGAUGCUGGUGGUCAGUAGCCUUUUGGAAGUCAGACAUACCUGGUGCUCUUUUGGAAGAUGAAGAUGCCAUGAAGCUUAGCUUUUCCCACUGCCCUGAGGCCCUAGUGAAUCACUUUACCAUACUGUUUUAGUCCAGUUUAAAGCAGAUUUUCCACAGAAGCUGAAGUAUAUGCCUGUGCAUUUCCUAAAAAUAUGCACUUCACUAUUAUUAGGGACAUAUGUAUUUAACAAUAAACUGUAUUAUUAUAUAGCACAAUACAAUGAAACUGGCACACAUCUCCUAUCGGGUAGGGACCCUUAAAAGAUGGCCACUCAUUGCGUUGUCUUAUAAAGUUCGUAAAUGCCCUGCAUAGCUCCUGCAGAGGACUGUCCAGUGAGCAGGGCUUGCUUCUUCACUGAGUGGCUUACAGCAUUAUGUUUCUGAAAGUUGUAUGGUUAUGCUUCAUGGCUGUUAAGUGGCAUGACCACAGUUUGCAUAUGCAGAGUCAGAGUGAACUGUUAGCACAAAUACCUAGGCCUCAUCGCAAACGUGGUCAUCAGUGGUGGCUUCUAAAUGAAAUCAAACACUGCAGAAUGCCCUACCUUCUCCCAGUGUUGUUCUCUCAUAAAUCCUGAGGCUCUGGAGUAGAAAUCAUAGAGUGAAAAGGUAUCUGGAUUUGGAUAUCAAGAGUGCUGACAUUGUCUAAGAUAGAAACUCUGCAUGCAGAAGACACAGAGGUUAGCCAGCAUGGUGGUGCAUGUCUGUGAUCCUUGCACUUGGGAGGCAAAGGCAGGAAGAUCAUCUCAAAGCCAUCCUUGGCUACAUAGCAAGUUCAAGGUCAGCCUGGGCUACAUGAGGUCCUGUUUUGAAAAUAAAAUAAAACAACAC
rnacentral:lncRNA from 1 species